AGAAGACAUUUCAUUUUGAUUAAAAACUCGUAAUGAAACAACUAUUCAGUUUAAUAUAAGAAUUUCGAAUUUAUCUAUCACUAUUUACUUUUUUAAAAAUGAUCUUAAAAAUUAUCUUUUCUGAGUAUAAUUUGUUAUAAUACACACACAAUGGAAAGCGCGGCAGCUUCAAUAUUAAAACGAGCAGUAGAAAUGGAUAGCAAUAAACAGUAUACAAUGGCUUUAGUAUUAUAUCAAGAAGGUAUACAAAUAUUACUUGAUUCCAAAAAAGAAACAACGGAUCCAGCUAAGCAAAAGUAUUUUACUAUCAAGGCAUCAGAAUAUUUGGAUAGAGCAGAAAAAAUAAAAAUUUUAAUUGAAAAGGAAAAGGCAACUGGUACAUACAGAGAAUUAAUUAAGAUUGAAACUGAUAGCAUAGGACAUGGCUAUGGUACUGUUUUUGGAAGAUUUUUAGAUGCAACAGUUACAUAUAUUAAUAUUGAAGAUCCUUAUAUAAGAGCAUUUCAUCAGUGUCAAAAUUUUGUAAGAUUAUGUGAAUUAGCUGUGAGAAAAUGUCAUGCAUUAUCUAAAAUAUCUUUAGUUACAACUCUUGAUCCAGAUGAUAAGAAAAAUCAAAUAGCAAGAUUAAAUGAAUUGAAACAGAGUUUAUCAUCUCAUCUUAUUUCUUUUGAAUUUAAAUUUUCUGAUACUUUACAUGAUAGACAAAUUAUUCAAAAGAUCUUCAGCUCUGUAUGAUGGAAGACAAUCUGCACCUCCGACAGCAACUACUUGUCUUGCAAUUUCUGGAUCUACACAGAGUCUUAUAAGUGCUGCGGCGGCAGUAAUUUCUAAUCGUCUAUAUGCAUCCUCUAAGCCAGGAGGUCGCAUUCUAAGAAAAGAACUAAUGCAAUAGAGGCACGGACUUUUGCUAAAUAUAUUCGAGCUUCAGGUAUACGCGCUAGCUCACUAAUAAGAGCUGCUACUUGUUCCAUUAACCAAACAUUUCUUCCAGCUGACUUUUUCACAGUUUUUAAUAAUUUUUUAACUGUUUCUUGUUCUAAUAUUACAAGAGCAUAUUUUUUGGAUUUGGACAAGUGAUUGAAUGCAGCUGCAACUAGCAACAAGGUCUGCCCACAAUUAGUAUUUUCGACUAGACAAUUUAAGGAUGGUAUUAAAUCUUUUGCAAAAGAUUCUAAAUAAGAUCUGUCAAUAUUUCUGGACCACCAUCUUUAACAAAUUGGUUUAUUGCCAUAGCGGAACUACAUACACUUGCCAAUGCUCGUAAAGAAGCUGCGACGAAAUCUAUUGAUGUUCUUCCAGUAGUGAUUACAGAUGUCAAAAGUGCUCUAAUACCUAAACAUCUUGUAAUACUGCUUCCUGCUCGAGGUCCUGCUAAACCUAAAGCAGUUAAAGCUGCUAGAGCACCUCUAGUUAAUGUAGUAUCAUCUUUCGGUGCUUCUUCCAAUCCUCUGACUAUUCUC